GAUGAACGCUGGCGGCGUGCCUAAUACAUGCAAGUCGAGCGAACAGACGAGGAGCUUGCUCCUCUGACGUUAGCGGCGGACGGGUGAGUAACACGUGGAUAACCUACCUAUAAGAAUGGGAUAACUUCGGGAAACCGGAGCUCAUACCGGAUAAUAUAUUGAACCGCAUGGUUCAAUAGUGAAAGACGGUUUUGCUGUCACUUAUAGAUGGAUCCGCGCCGCAUUAGCUAGUUGGUAAGGUAACGGCUUACCAAGGCAACGAUGCGUAGCCGACCUGAGAGGGUGAUCAGCCACACUGGAACUGAGACACGGUCCAGACUCCUACGGGAGGCAGCAGUAGGGAAUCUUCCGCAAUGGGCGAAAGCCUGACGGAGCAACGCCGCGUGAGUGAUGAAGGUCUUCGGAUCGUAAAACUCUGUUAUUAGGGAAGAACAAAUGUGUAAUUAACUAUGCACGUCUUGACGGUACCUAAUCAGAAAGCCACGGCUAACUACGUG
rnacentral:rRNA from 1 species